rnacentral:rRNA from 1 species
UAACCGGAUUAGAUACCCCGGUAGUCCACGCCGUAAACGAUGGAUGCUAGCUGUUCUCGGUAUCGACCCCAAGUGUAGCGAAGCUAACGCGUUAAGCAUCCCGCCUGUGGAGUACGGUCGCAAGACUAAAACAUAAAGGAAUUGACGGGGACCCGCACAAGCGGUGGAGCGUGUUGUUUAAUUCGAUGGUAAGCGAAGAACCUUACCCAGGCUUGACAUCCUUGGAAUUUUGCCGAAAGGCGAGAGUGCUUUAUUGAACCAAGUGACAGGUGUUGCAUGGCCGUCGUCAGCUCGUGUCGUGAGAUGUUUGGUUAAGUCCAUCAACGAGCGCAACCCUUAUAGUUAGUUGAAUUUUUCUAGCUAGACUGCCCUGGCAACAGGGAGGAAGGAGGGGAUGAUGUCAGGUCAGUAUUACCCUUACGUCUGGGGCUACAAACACGCUACAAUGGCCGGUACAAAGGGCAGCCAAGUCGCGAGACGGAGCAAAUCCCAUCAAAGCCGGUCUCAGUUCGGAUAGCAGGCUGAAACUCGCCUGCUUGAAGUCGGAAUCGCUAGUAACGGUAGGUCAGCACACUACCGUGAAUACGUUCCCGGGUCUUGUACACACCGCCCGUCAAACCAUGAAAGUCGCCAAUACCUGACGUGUGAGCUUUGCCUCGCCCUAAGGUAGGGGAGAUGAUUGGGGUUAAGUCGUA